AUUGAACGCUGGCGGAAUGCUUUACACAUGCAAGUCGAACGGCAGCACGGACUUCGGUCUGGUGGCGAGUGGCGAACGGGUGAGUAAAGUAUCGGAACGUGCCCAGUCGUGCGGGAUAACGUAGUGAAAAUUACGCUAAUACCGCAUACGAUCAAUGGAUGAACGUGGGGGAGCGCAAGAACCCGAGCUCUUGGAGCCGCCGAUAUCAGAUUAGGUAGUUGGUGGGGUAAAGGCCCACCAAGCCAACGAUCUGUAGCUGGUCUGAGAGGACGACCAGCCACACGGGAACUGAGACACGGUCCAGACUCCUACGAGAGGCAGCAGUGGGGAAUUUUGGACAAUGGGCGAAAGCCUGAUCCAGCCAGUGCGCGUGCAGGAUGAAGGCCCUCGGGUGGUAAACUGCUUUUGUACAGAACGAAAAGGUUUCUACUAAUACUAGGAGCUCAUGACGGAACUGUAAGAAUAAGCACCGGCUAACUACGUGCCAGCCGCCGCAGUAA
rnacentral:rRNA from 1 species